rnacentral:rRNA from 1 species
CCGCCGGCGACCGGCGCACGGGUGAGUAACGCGUAUGCAACCUGCCCGUUUCAGCGGGAUAACCCGGAGAAAUCCGGCCUAAUACCGCAUGUGGCCGAGGGGAGGCAUCUUCUUUCGGCCAAAGGAGGCGACUCCGGAGACGGAUGGGCAUGCGUGACAUUAGCUAGUUGGCGGGGUAACGGCCCACCAAGGCGACGAUGUCUAGGGGUUCUGAGCGGAAGGUCCCCCACACUGGUACUGAGACACGGACCAGACUCCUACGGAAGGCAGCAG